rnacentral:lncRNA from 1 species
GAUGAUUGAUUAGAUAAGACCUAAACCUAAACUUCUCCAUAAAUAUUAAGUCCAUAGGUCUUCCAUCGAUGUAGAUAUGCAGGUGUGCUACCGACGUUGAUUGUUCUCAGCUGGUUACAGUGGUUCAGUUGCAUCGAAAACAUGUAACCACUCUAUUAACAAAGAGUUGCUCCAAGGUAACGAUGGGAUUGGACCUAAUAAUUAUUAGGUGAGGGACCCAAUGAUGGCCUUGCACCUGCUUGUGAACGGU